rnacentral:rRNA from 1 species
GAUGAACGCUGGCGGCGUGCCUAAUACAUGCAAGUCGAGCGAACAGAUGAGGAGCUUGCUCCUCUGACGUUAGCGGCGGACGGGUGAGUAACACGUGGAAAACCUACCUAUAAGACUGGGAUAACUUCGGGAAACCGGAGCUAAUACCGGAUAAUAUAUUGAACCGCAUGGUUCAAUAGUGAAAGACGGUUUUGCUGUCACUUAUAGAUGGAUCCGCGCCGCAUUAGCUAGUUGGUAAGGUAACGGCUUACCAAGGCAACGAUGCGUAGCCGACCUGAGAGGGUGAUCGGCCACACUGGAACUGAGACACGGUCCAGACUCCUACGGGAGGCAGCAGUAGGGAAUCUUCCGCAAUGGGCGAAAGCCUGACGGAGCAACGCCGCGUGAGUGAUGAAGGUCUUCGGAUCGUAAAACUCUGUUAUUAGGGAAGAACAAAUGUGUAAGUAACUAUGCACGUCUUGACGGUACCUAAUCAGAAAGCCACGGCUAACUACGUG